UACGAAGGGGGCUAGCGUUGUUCGGAAUUACUGGGCGUAAAGCGCACGUAGGCGGACUUUUAAGUCAGGUGUGAAAUCCCGGGGCUCAACCUCGGAACUGCAUUUGAAACUGGGAGUCUUGAGACCAGGAGAGGUUAGCGGAAUACCGAGUGUAGAGGUGAAAUUCGUAGAUAUUCGGUGGAACACCAGUGGCGAAGGCGGCUAACUGGACUGGUACUGACGCUGAGGUGCGAAAGUGUGGGGAGCAAACAGG
rnacentral:rRNA from 1 species